ACGAACGCUGGCGGCGUGCCUAAUACAUGCAAGUCGAGCGAGCUUGCCUAGAUGAUUUUAGUGCUUGCACUAAAUGAAACUAGAUACAAGCGAGCGGCGGACGGGUGAGUAACACGUGGGUAACCUGCCCAAGAGACUGGGAUAACACCUGGAAACAGAUGCUAAUACCGGAUAACAACACUAGACGCAUGUCUAGAGUUUGAAAGAUGGUUCUGCUAUCACUCUUGGAUGGACCUGCGGUGCAUUAGCUAGUUGGUAAGGUAACGGCUUACCAAGGCAAUGAUGCAUAGCCGAGUUGAGAGACUGAUCGGCCACAUUGGGACUGAGACACGGCCCAAACUCCUACGGGAGGCAGCAGUAGGGAAUCUUCCACAAUGGACGAAAGUCUGAUGGAGCAACGCCGCGUGAGUGAAGAAGGGUUUCGGCUCGUAAAGCUCUGUUGGUAGUGAAGAAAGAUAGAGGUAGUAACUGGCCUUUAUUUGACGGUAAUUACUUAGAAAGUCACGGCUAACUACGUGCCAGCAGCCGCGGUAAUACGUAGGUGGCAAGCGUUGUCCGGAUUUAUUGGGCGUAAAGCGAGUGCAGGCGGUUCAAUAAGUCUGAUGUGAAAGCCUUCGGCUCAACCGGAGAAUUGCAUCAGAGACUGUUGAACUUGAGUGCAGAAGAGGAGAGUGGAACUCCAUGUGUAGCGGUGGAAUGCGUAGAUAUAUGGAAGAACACCAGUGGCGAAGGCGGCUCUCUGGUCUGCAACUGACGCUGAGGCUCGAAAGCAUGGGUAGCGAACAGG
rnacentral:rRNA from 1 species